AUUGAACGCUGGCGGCAGGCCUAACACAUGCAAGUCGAGCGAGCGGCGGACGGGUGAGUAAUGUCUGGGAAACUGCCUGAUGGAGGGGGAUAACUACUGGAAACGGUAGCUAAUACCGCAUACCAUCAGAUGUGCCCAGAUGGGAUUAGCUAGUAGGUGGGGUAACGGCGCACCUAGGCGACGAUGCCUAGCUGGUCUGAGAGGAUGACCAGACACACUGGAAGUGAGACACGGUCCAGCCUCCUAGGGGAGGCAGCAGUGGGGAAUAGUGCACAAUGGGAGCAAGCCUGAUGCAGCCAUGCCGCGUGGUUGAAGAAGGCCUUCGGGUUGUAAAGCACUUUCAGCGGGGAGGCGUUAACCGCAGAAGAAGCACCGGCUAACUCCGUGCCAGCAGCCGCGGUAAUAC
rnacentral:rRNA from 1 species